rnacentral:rRNA from 1 species
AUGCCUGCAUUCGCCGAGCGCAUUCAAGGCGAGGUGUCCUCGCGCCCACCGGCAUCUGCGACGACCAGUGCCUUCAAUGCGGCCUCUCGCCUCCGAUCAGCCAUUAUCAUCCCGCUCGGCUGCGACCAGACCGUCUUCGUGCCUCCAGGCUGUCCACGCGCACCGGACGACGUCCCAUCCUCGCCUCGGGAGGAGGCCGGAUGGACUGCUGCGCGCCGCCUGCGCCGUCCGCGACGGGACGCGCCUUCAAGCCGACCUGUUGCAUCCCUUGCCCACCCCGCAUCUCGCCACCUCGGGGAGCAGCGUCGGGCGAGUCAGCUCUGCUUCAAGAAGCGCAUGGAGGGCCUCCGCUCUCGUUGCCUUGCUCCGCAGCACCAUCGUUCCGUUGCUUGUAGAGAUCCAAUCCGCUGCCUGGCCUGCAAGCUCUCCGGUCAUACCGAGCGCAAGUGCCCGCUGCGCUCCAAGCCAAGGCCUCCACCACCCAGGCUCCCCCCUUCCUCGGUAGAUCGCCCUCGCUCAUCGCCAUCUUCGCCGGGCGCGAGUUCCUGGGCCGCCAUCGUAGCCGCUCCCCCCGCGCCAGCCCUUCAUACUUUACGCCAGCCAGCGAUGGCCCGCGCCUCUGCUGGUAUUGGGGCGCCGGACGCUCGCCCGGAGGAGGACUGCUGCAUCAUCCUGUCCUUCUUCGACAUGGACCGCGACAUGCUCGACUGGAAGCAGACUGCCGCCAUCGCCUGGUCAGUCAACUCGCCACGGCGCCUUGAGGCGCUUGAUGUCGACCGCGCCAUCCAGAAGCAGCCGACACUGAGCCACGCGGACGUGGCUGUUACUCCGUACCAUCCUGUCGAGUUCCUUGUCAAGUUCAACCACAAGGCGCAUUGUGACGAGGCCCUCGCCGUGGGGCGGGUGCAUGCCGGCGGUGGCAUCAUCCAUAUCCGCCCAUGGCGGCCGCUGGAGCGGGCGCUUGGUGCGGCGCUCAACUACCGGGUGCGCCUCUGCCUCGAGAAUGUGCCGGACUACGCCUGGACCCCGUUCGUCACCGAACGCAUCAUCGGCCGAUGUUGCUCCCUCGACCGUCUUGAAGACAACUCCGCGCUCAGGACCAACUCGGAGACGCUCGACCUUUGGGCGUGGCGGCAGACCCAAACCUGAUCCCGAAGAUCAUUUGGCUCACUUUCACCACGAGGCCGGCCGGCAGUCUGCAAGUCUUUGCCAACGAGGCCAGGUCGUCCGGUUGCAAGAGAGGCGUCACCUUCCGCGUGCUGGUCCAUCUGGAUGCAGUGGAAGACCAUGCCAAUGCCCCACUGGAUCGCUACGUCACCGACAGCCGCGCCGCCCCGUUCAGCCCGCCUCGGUCGGACCUGGUGUGGAACUGGGGCUCUGUCAAUGGCGUUCCCCCGCCGCUCGGGGCGACACUGGCUGCGCCCGCUACGAUCAUCCCGUCUCGGGCUGCUGCGCCUCGCCGCCGUGGGCAGGGGACCGACGACCACCCACGCCAGCUGCAUCGGCGCCGCGACGACGGAGACGACUCCGACGACGACUGGCAUGGGGGCGGUGGAAGAGAUGUGCGCGAGCGCGAUGGCCGUGCCCGGGAGACCCGCAUGGAGGUGCAUAGAGAGCGCACCCGUUCCCCCCGUUGCCGAGAAGGGGCAACCGGACGACACGGACGACGCCGGGCGGGGUCUCCUACUGCUGCGGCGCCGGUCUCCCCGGCGUCGGGGUUGGUCUUGGGUGCCUUCUGUCAGCUUCGCCCGGCGGCCUCCGACGGCAGGCUGCAGUUCGGAGGGCAGGCUCGGGCGCUCCGGGACGAGAUGGCCUUGGCGCUCGAGGCGGCACUAG